CUUCCCUCUUCUGCUCUCUUCCUGUCUGAACACUUCCUAGCUUCGGCCUCCACCUCCUUCAUUACUUCUUGAAUACUUGAAGCCUUCGGAAGUCAUCCUGUCUUCCCAGAUUCUUAGUCUGCCACUCCAUCUAGCAACUCAUUUUACCUUGGCCCUGAGAGGAUUGCCUGAGAGACUAGAGGUUUUAGAGCAGGAAAAGAUGAUACAAAUCACGUAACCCAGCAGCCUCUAGGAGCAGAUGAGGACGUUUGGAUGUGGGAAGGCUACAGAACUUGUGUAAGGUCACAGUGCUGGUGAUGUGGAGCUGGAAUUAUGACCUCUGCUUGGCAGCCGUCCCCCUGGAGUGGAUGCUCCUGGGAGUUGGUCCCUGUGUCCAGCCUCUGUCUUCAUACACAAAUUAUGUUUAGACAGGUUGGCCCAUGCAGACUUAUCAGUGGUUCAGAGAUAUCCAAAAGCUUUGUUCCUCUCAUGGUGCUGAGUCUAAGAGAUUUAUCUUUCUUGCAUCCCCUGCUUACACUAAACUUCCAUUUAAGCUUAAUAGCCAGAGAAGUGACUGUAAGCAGUUCUCCAACCUGAGCUUGCAUUAGAAUCACCUGGAGGGCUUUUUGAACCAUAGAGAGCUGGGCUCCACCCCUGGAGUUUCUGAUUCUGUGAAGGUGGGGUGGGUCUGGGACUUUGCAUUCCCAGGUGAUGCUGAUAUUGCUAACCCUGAGAUCUUAUUGGGAGAGCCUGAGAGAGAGUGGUUAAGAACCUGGACUUCACAACUGAACAACCCUGAGUUUCAGCUCCUGUUUCACCACCUUGGGCAAGUGACUCAACCUCGUGAAUGAUGACCUUCCUGCUCACAGCUCCUUAGCACUACAACCUGCCUUCUUUGAUCCUGAAACUAGCAGCUACUGGACAGGCAAGAGGACAAACAGAAGGUUUUCUUCCAGCUGGAAGACUGGACCUCUGUAUUUUCACCAUGCACAGGAGGCAAAUCUAUUCUUUGUUUAUCCAUUCUCCAACUGGAUGCUUUAGAAACCAGAAGCAAUUAGAAUGCCUGACCUGAACCAUGGUACCAGAGUAUGCAAACUUCACUUUCAGAAUGCUAACUCCAAAUAAACAAAUAAACUCAGCCAAUAAACAAACAAACAAAUUUGACAGUUUCCUCAUGCAAGGUGUAGCAGCCUUUAUAACACUUAUGCUGUUGCUUUAACUUGUGUUACUAGGGAUUUGUUUCUGCCUUACUUUAUUUUCUUCAGUAAUUGCAUUAUGCAGUUAAGCAUUUUAUUGUUUAUUAGGGUUUUUAUUUCAUUUUGUUAUUUGUCUGCAUUUAUUGUCCUGUCCACUAGCAUAUCUAGAUAAUACUUGGCAAAGAUUCAUGUAUUAUAUAUGAAAAAGAGUCGUGUGUGUGUCUGUGUGUGUGUGUGUGUGUGUGUGUGUGUGUGAUGUUUGUCACUUUAAGGAGAAAUGUAACCCAUGAUACAGAGAUCUCUCCAUACUAGAUGCAAUUAAACCUAUUAAAUAUUAAAUGAGGAGAUUGAGAAUUUCAAGUGAUUUUCAUCCUUUAUUCCAAAGUGACUUCAUUUGGCAAGAAUGCCCUUUGCUUUGACAGCAUUAAUGGCUCUCGCAGAAAAGAAGAAAAGGAAAAAUUCACAGGCACUAUUUGGAAAUGUAGCUCCAAUGUCCAUCUACAUUAAGGCAGUGUUAGCUUAGUGGUGAAUAUCUAGAUGUACCUAAACUUAGCAAAAUAGUGUCUAAGUUCCAAUUUAUGCCAUUUGCUAAUUAUAGACUAAGCCCAAAUUAUAUUCUCUUCCUAUUUUGCAGCUUUCUUAUUUUAUUCUGAAUUAGCAAAAUUUUUCAACAAUCAAUGGACAUAGCACCUGAGCAAGGGAAGGACAAAAAUGCUGGUGCAACAACUGUAAUCCAAAACAUUCCAGGGCAAGCGCUUUUGGAUUCCUGAGUUUGUCUGUCGGAGAUCUGGAACUGUGUGCAGGUUCAUUACACGGGGUUAUUUGACAAUUUAGCAGUAAGAAAUCUUGACAUUUUGAUGUACCUGUAACUUCUAAAUUGCACUUGAAAGACUUGUUGAAGGCUUUUUGAUUUAAUGACACACAACAUAGCAUUGUUUCAUAAUAUGCAAAAAUUGUUUGUUAACUACACUGCAGCUCAGAAUUUUAUAACUCAAGGUGUGACUACACUGUUUUCCACCUCAUGUUUGAUCUGCCAAA
rnacentral:lncRNA from 10 species